rnacentral:lncRNA from 1 species
GUCUGGAGGCUCCGCGGCUUGGCGCCCAGAUAUGCCAGGUUCACGUUGGCCUUGCGGCCGUCGAUGAUGGGGUUCGGGUCUUUGCAAGCCCUGUCAGCUGCCGCCCGGUCGGCCAUGGUCACCUGGUGGAGCAGAGACACAUCAGGGGCUGCCGUGGGGGGAACCAGGGGCGAAAGGGGCAGACGGCUCCGCCCUGGCACCGGAUGCUGCCACCCCUCUCUUCCCUUCCUCUGAGGGUGCCUGUGACCCAGGGUCCUUGAGCCAAAGCCCCUCUGACCCCUACCUGGGGCUCUCCCACAAAGAUGCCUCCUGGAUUCCAGCUCCUCCCGUCAAAGUUCAAGGCCUGGGAAAUGUGGCCUUCAAGGACAAAAAUAAUCCCCUGCGGGGAUAGGGCAAAAAUGAACCUCGAAGGGAGCCUGGGGGGCCGCCUGGACUGCCCACCAGUGAGGGCCGAGACUUUCCUCUGAGAAGGAGUUUGCGACGCUAUGCUUGGAAGGCAACCGUCAGGUGCUAAGCAGAACCAUGCUUGGGCCUUCCACACCAGUCAAGGUACUCUCACAGCAAAGCCCCACCGAAGGGGCCCACAGGUUGGAUUCGAGGUACGUGAAGUCCCAAGAGAUGACAUGAAGCCCCAAAUGGAUGCCCUGGCUCCCCAGCACCAGAGGGAAACGCCCCCUCACCGAAGACAGUGGCAAGUGCCAUGCUUCAAGUAACACAAGGAGCAGCCUCCAGUGCACCUGUUUUAGCAGCCAGCCCUGGAGGCAGAAAGAUUUACAAGGGAGUGGAAAGGCUGGCAAACACAGGACACACGGAGAUGCCCAAAGUCAGUGGGGGUCAGGGUUCAACCUGGAAAUGCAGUCUCCUCAGCUGAGGAAGGCAGUGAGUCCUGGCCAGGAAGCCGGUCCAAGCCCCUGCCUCGUCCCCAGUUCACUUCGUGAAAGCUGAUGAAUGACCAAUGCUUGCAGAGGGGUCUGGAGUAAUGGCGGCACCGUAUUAAGGGGCGAUCAGGCUGUAUCUUGACACUGGGAUUCAUAAGAGGAGGAAGAAACCUAUCAUGCUGACGGGUAGUGAAGAAGAGAAAUGAAAGACAAAAGACACAAGAGAAGGCCAGGCGCAGUGGCUCACUCCUGUAAUCCCAGCUACCCGGGAGGCUGAGACAGGAGAAUCGCUUGAACCCGGGAGGCAGAGGGCGCACUGAGCUGAGAUCAUGCCACUGCAGUGCAGCCUGGAUGACAGGGCGAGACUCAGUCUCAGAAAGAAAAAAAAAAGACACCAGAGAGUGCUGCCGCCAGUGAGCUGACGGAAUCCGCGGUGUGGAUUCGGGCCCGUAGGAUGCUGGGGAUUGUCAGUGCCUUCUUUGAGCUUUGUCUCCUCCCAUACUGCCUCCUCUGCACCACAGUCAGGAGGGAAAAAGAAUAAAAGAUUAAGAAUGCAGGUCAGUUAUUUUUCGGGAGCCGAUUUACAUUUUAAGCAAGUAUGCAACAGGUGUUUCUCAUCGGCUUUGGAAACAGCCCUCACCUUAAAAAAUAUUUUUCAAUAGAUUGAUGCAAAAUUCACAAUAGGCUCUUAGACUGUGGUGAUGGUUUCAUGGGUGUAUGUUUAUCUCCAAACUCAUCAAGUUGUAUAAGUUAAAUAUGUACAGC